CAGUCGCCGCGGUAACACAGAGGGUGCAAGCGUUAAUCGGAAUUACUGGGCGUAAAGCGCGCGUAGGUGGUUUGUUAAGUUGGAUGUGAAAGCCCCGGGCUCAACCUGGGAACUGCAUCCAAAACUGGCAAGCUAGAGUACGGUAGAGGGUGGUGGAAUUUCCUGUGUAGCGGUGAAAUGCGUAGAUAUAGGAAGGAACACCAGUGGCGAAGGCGACCACCUGGACUGAUACUGACACUGAGGUGCGAAAGCGUGGGGAGCAAACAGGAUUAGAGAUCCCGCGUAGUCCCUGUCUCUUAUA
rnacentral:rRNA from 1 species